rnacentral:tRNA from 1 species
GCCUGAGUGGCUUGGUUAAGCAUCUGACUUCAGCUCAGAUCAUGAUCUGACAGUUCAUGAGUUCGAGCCCCACAUCAGGCU